rnacentral:misc_RNA from 1 species
UCCGAUUUAAAUAUCGGCAGUCUCGCUAGAGUCCCCGGCCGAACCGUUGGCAACUAGAGACAAGGGUUUCGCUCGUUGAGGGACUUAACCCGACAUCUCACGACACGAGCUGACGACAGUCAUGCAACACCUGUCCACGUUUCACCCUUGCGGGCAGGGUAUCCAACUUUCGUCGGACCCAUCCGUGGAUUUCAAACCCGGGUAAGGUUCUUCGCGUUGCUUCGAAUUGAACCACAUGCUCCACCGCUUGUGUGAGCCCCCGUCAAUUCCUUUGAGUUUUAGCCUUGCGACCGUACUCCCCAGGCGGGGCACUUAACACAUUUGCUUCGGCAGAGAGAGUAUCGACACCCCCUCUACCCAGUGCCCAUCGUUUACAGCUAGGACUAC